GAGGCGGGGCGUUGCGGCCGCCGUGCCAGGGUGACCGGUUUCGCUGUAUUCGAGGUGGCGGGGCGGGCGGAAAGAGCAGGGAGGAGGCCGUGGUGCAGGAUGGCGGCAACAACCUACGAGCGGCUGAAGCUGCAUAUCACACCUGACAAAUUCUAUGUGGAAGCUUGUGAUGAUGGAGCAGAUGAUGUACUUAUCAUCGACCGUGUGUCCACAGAAGUUACACUCUCAGUCAAGAAAGAUAUUCCUCCUUCAGCUGUCACAAGACCAAUAUUUGGUAUACUGGGCACAAUUCAUCUGGUGGCAGGUAAUUAUCUAAUUGUCAUUACCAAAAAGAAAAAAAUAGGUGAAUUUUUCAAUCAUGUAAUCUGGAAAGCAAUAGAUUUUGAUGUCCUUUCUUAUAAGAAGACAAUGUUGCACUUAACUGAUAUUCAGUUACAAGAUAACAAAACUUUCCUAGCAAUGAUAAACCAUGUCUUGAGUGUGGAUGGAUUUUAUUUUUCAACAACAUAUGAUUUGACCCAUACUUUGCAGCGGCUGUCUAACACUAGUCCAGAAUUCCAGGAAAUGAGUCUCUUGGAAAGGGCAGACCAGCGGUUUGUAUGGAAUGGUCAUCUUCUAAGAGAACUUUCUGCUCAGCCAGAGGUCCAUCGGUUUGCUCUUCCGGUAUUAUAUGGCUUUAUUACUAUGCACUCAUGUUCUAUUAAUGGAAAAUACUUUGAUUGGAUUCUCAUCUCGAGGAGGAGUUGUUUCAGAGCUGGUGUCCGCUAUUAUGUAAGAGGAAUUGAUUCUGAAGGCCAUGCAGCUAACUUUGUAGAAACAGAACAAAUUGUGCACUACAAUGGGAGCAGAGCUUCAUUUGUACAGACUCGAGGAUCAAUACCACUUUACUGGUCUCAAAGACCAAAUCUCAAGUACAAACCACUGCCACUGAUCAACAAAGUAGCAAAUCAUAUGGAUGGUUUCCAAAGGCAUUUUGAUUCACAAAUAAUUAUUUAUGGAAAACAAGUCAUAAUCAAUCUGGUUAAUCAGAAGGGCUCAGAGAAGCCACUUGAACAGGCGUUUGCAACAAUGGUGUCUUCCUUGGCAAAUGGAAUGAUCAGAUAUAUUGCCUUUGACUUCCAUAAGGAAUGUAAAAAUAUGAGAUGGGAUCGACUAAGUAUUUUAUUGGAUCAAGUAGCAGAAAUGCAAGAUGAAUUAAGUUAUUUUCUAGUGGACUCUGACGGCAAGGUGGUGACUAACCAGGAAGGCGUGUUCCGCAGCAAUUGCAUGGAUUGUCUGGACAGAACUAAUGUGAUCCAGAGUCUGUUAGCUCGUCGUUCGCUUCAGGCCCAGCUUCAGAGACUAGGAGUUUUGCAUGUGGGACAAAAGCUUGAAGAACAAGAUGAAUUUGAGAAGAUUUACAAAAACGCCUGGGCUGACAAUGCAAAUGCUUGUGCCAAACAGUAUGCGGGAACUGGUGCCUUGAAGACUGACUUUACCAGAACUGGGAAGAGAACUCAGUUGGGACUUAUAAUGGAUGGCUGGAACUCACUGAUACGGUAUUACAAGAACAACUUUUCUGAUGGAUUUAGACAAGAUUCCAUAGACUUAUUUCUUGGGAACUAUUCAGUGGAUGAAUUAGAAUCUCAUAGUCCUUUAAGUGUUCCAAGGGAUUUGAAAUUCCUGGCUUUGCCUAUUAUCAUGGUUGUCGCCUUUUCCAUGUGCAUUAUCUGUUUGCUUAUGGCUGGUGACACCUGGACAGAAACACUGGCAUAUGUGCUCUUCUGGGGAGUUGCAAGCAUUGGAACAUUUUUUAUUAUUCUUUACAAUGGCAAAGAUUUUGUUGAUGCUCCCAGAUUGGUCCAGAAAGAAAAGAUAGACUGAAUUUGUGUCUGUGGAAAGCGGCUUGGCUUGGAAGAUUCCAUUAUGCAGAACUGGAGUCUUUACUGACCCGCUUUCCACGUCAGCCCAAGGGUCUGCUGCAGCUCUGCUACAUGAUGUCUGCAUCCUGGGACCCAGAGUGACGGAACAGCUUCACACAGGAACAUUACCAGUUGUCCUGGCAGAAAGAAAAGGGAGAAGUUUCUGUUGAAGAUGGCACUGACAGAGGUCACUCAGUGAUACUCAGCUGACAGAGGGGCUGGUCUCUGGUCUGCGCUGGUUUGGUGCUGCACAAGGGUGGCUGGAAGGUGGACCAGCUGGUUCUGUGAGCUGGAGCACCUCCAUGUGGCUUUGCAGCACGGCAGCCUCAAGGUCGUAGGACUUCAUACCUGGUUGGCUCACGGCGGCCGGAGUGAGAGUUCCAGCAAACCAGGUGGAAGCUUGCAUGGUAUGAUCUAGCCUCUAACAUCCAGUGGUGUCCCUUCCGCCAUAUUCUAUUGGUUGGAGCACUCACAAACCCACUCAGAUUCAGGGGGAGGGACACAGACCCCCUCUCUCAAUGAGAAAGAUGGAAAAGAACCUGUGGCCCUGUCUGGACACAUGUUGGAUUUUUUGGUAGGCUUUGGUCCUAAGCCCUCCUCUCCAUGUACACACUUACCCCAGGUGAUGUCAUUUAGACCCAUGGUUUUAAAAUAGCAUCUUGAUGCUGUGACUCCCAAAUAUAUAUACAUCUAGAUCGGACCUUUCCAAAAGGUUCAGAUUCUAAUGUUCUGUUGCCUACCUGAUAUUCCCACCUGAUUCACAGGCAUCUCAAACUCAGUAUGGUCAAGCAGAGCUCUUUUUUUAUCCCCCCAGAGCUCUUGAUUUAUACUCUGCAGACUGGUUCCAUGCCGAGUUUUCUCCAUCUCAGGAAAUGCCACCAGCAUCCACCCAGUAAGUCAAACAUUUCAUCCCUCUCCUCUCAACUAUGCAUCCAGUCCAUAAGCAAGUCUUGGCAACUCUCCCCUGCCAAAAUAUAACUCAGACCCACCUGUUCCUCUCCAUAUUCAUUUCCAAGUCUAUGCCACCAUCAUCUUUCCCAUGGACUUCCUAAAGUAGCUCCUGGAAUAAUUUUCCAAGGUCCCCAUCUACAACCUUCUCCAGUCUGUUCUCCACAGCUACAAGUGAUCUUUCAAGUGUAAACUAGAUGACGCAGGGCCCCACGUUAAACCCUCAGGUGAGAUUCUGUUGCUCUUUGAAGGAAUCCGGAGCUCUGUUGUGGCCUAUCAGGCCUUAUAUGACCUGGUCUCUGCCCACUUCUCCAAGCUCAUCUCCCAUCGCUCCCGUCCCCAGUCCAACCACAGGCCUCCUUUCUGCUCUUUCUCCCCUGCGGGCCUUUGCACUGCCAUUGCCUCUGCCUGGACAGACCUUCUAGCAAUUUCAAUAACUAGUUCAUUCUUCUUCAAAAUUCAGUCCACGUAUCUCCUCCUUGACCACCUGAUUGAAGCACUGUCCCUCUCACACCAUCACUUGGCCCAUUUAUUUCCUUCUUAGAAAAGGUCACAGUCUGUAAUUAUAUCAUUUGUUAUCUAUCAUUGUCUUUUUCCCUUCCAGAAUUUAAGAGCCAUGAAGUCCAGAGACCAGAACUUUCCCCAGAGCCUACACAGGGACUGGAUUAUGUAAUAUACUCCGUAAAGGCUGAUCCUAUGCAGGGCCCUGGUUCUCAGAUUUGGCAGGUUCCAGGGCGUGGCCUGGACACCAGGAGUUUUAAAUGCUCCCGGGUGGUUUGAAUGGACACUGAGGUGGAGGACCACUGAAGUACAGCAACUGUGAAUGAAGAGCUGCUCUAGAACAACAUUUGUGUCUAUGCUCCUGAGGAUACCUAGCAUUCAGGGCUGAAAUACCCAGGUGAUGACCAACCCCCGAGGGGCGGCCCCUGUUGUAAGACAGUGACCAGGGCUGGGGGCUCGGAGACUGUGACCCCUAAGGAUUCAGGAACAGACUCUGUGCUGUGUAUUUGCUGUUGAGUGUGCUCACUCUCCAAGCCUUGAUAGCUGAGGUUUCGUGACACCGAAGAACCUCUGAUAAGAAAUCGGAGGACUGACUAGUUGUGGGAAGUUUAUGGCAUGAAAAAGAAAAGCCAUCUCUAGCUGAUGUCCCAGGUGAAUGUACUCGAGAAGACGAUGGGCUGAGUGCUUCCGGAGUCAACACUUCCAAAAGCAGCCGAGGCGGCUCCAUCUGUACGUAAGUGGUUGUAAGAUAGUGAGCGGCUGACGGCAGUCUCGGGGAAGCCCAGCUCUCAGGCCACGGAGGCUGUGUCUCCCCGCUUGAGGUGGCGCACGAUGAAAGUCCCCAGGGCCCCCAGGGGGAUGCACAUGGUAGAGGAGGCCACGAGCAGCCCAAUGAUGGCCAGUGCAUACGGGGGGUAGUCCUUGGUCACAAGCUGGCCCUGAAGAAGGAACCUGAGUGUCAGAAGAAAGAACCUCCCGUGCGGAGCCUUCUGAGGGCACCACCCCGCCGGGCCUCAGGCCCUCCAGCGGGAGGAAGAGAGCAUCUGCGGCCGGGCAUCCUUACACCCGGGGCCACCCCAGCUCUGCGUGCAGGUCACUAGUGGCUCUGCUGGGCAGACUAACUCCCCUUGUGCAUACUGUUUGGAGCUACCUGGAAAGAGCAACCAUGAGAAUAAUCCAAGGCUUAUGUUCAAGGCAGCAGCAGGGGACCUAAAUGUAGGGGCUACCUGUCCAGUACAGCAGCCAUCAGGCAUAGGUGGCCAUUGAGCACUGGGAAUGUGGCUGGUGAUGCUCAAGAAGUGAAUUUUAAAUUUGUUUAAAUUUCAAUAGCCACAUGUGGUUAUUAGCUUCUGUGUCCAGCAGCACAGCUCUCAUCUCAGGAGAAGUGAAGUGUUGAUGGACCUCAGGACUUAGUUGGAAGAAUGAUGGAUGUUUCCGUAAAUGCAAAACUGAUGAGAAACCAGUUGAGGCCCAAAAGCCACUAAAUGCUACACUACCUUUCCACAAAGGAACCAGAGGACAGCUAAAUCCGGGGAGCAGGUACUUGCUGUCAACCAAAGCACGUAUGGUUUGUAAACCAAAAUGCCACCCGGAGUGUGGCCGCGGGAACCAACCCACAGACUUCUGUUGCUCAUCUGUUACUCAUUGUGUUCUGUGUGACGAGUACAGGAAUUGGGAGGAAACAUAAAUGAUUUUAGCAGUUUGACAGCAUAUAAUCCUGUGUCUGCUGAAUCUGAUACAUAUUUGGUGCUUGUAUUUGCUCUACCUUUUUUUUUUUUUUUUUUUUAAAGGAAUUCACUGUUAAUUGCAUUUUCCAAAAGUAUCAGGCUGCACGCCCUGCUCGGCACCACUACCAGAACCAGACGCAGUGGCGCCUUCCCAGCCAUGGUGCAGCGUGGAGUGUGUGGACUGGAGCACGGGCCCUGUGCACCCUGUCUGCACACACACCAUAUGCUAAGAGGCAGCAUCUUCUAUCCACAGGGAAAGACAUCCAAAUUGGUAGCUGGAGAUGACCUUGCUGUCGGUCAGAGGGGUGAGGAUGGCGGCCGUGUUCCCCAGCAUGCUUCCAAUGCCCAGCAUCAGCAGCAUGAAGAAGUAGAGCACCGACCACAGCUGGGACACCUCCAUGUUUUUAAUGGCCUCUGUGUAGACGAUGAAGGCCAGGCCGGUGCCCUGGACGGCCUGCCCACAGGAUGAAGACACCAGUUACACACCCGGGGGACUCAGGACUUCUUCCCCAGGUGCUAAGCUACUUGGGGAACCUGAGAAUCAGCCACGAGAAGCCACAUUCUGAGGUUGGAUCUUCCACCUGCACACCAGCCCACUGAGGCACGUGAAAAGAUGUUCAGCGUCGCCAACGAGUAGAAAAAUGGAAAUCAAAAUGACGAGUUAUCCCCUGGCACCAAUCAUCAAAAAUUCUCCAAAGAAUAAAUGCAGCAGAGGACGUGGAGAAAGGGGAACCCAACAAUGCUGUUGGGAGGAAGGCCCUUUCAGCUCGGGCCUUUAGAGGCCCACUGCCCCCGCCUUGAGGCCUGGGGCCCACCGGAUGACCCAGGCUUACUUGUUCAAGCAGCUCUCGUAGUUGAAGGUGGCCUUGAAGCCAUAGAUGGAGAAGGUGACGACGCUGGCAAAGAUGGAGGUGGAACUGUUGAUGAUGGACACGAUGACGGCGUGCUUCUGGCAGUUGUUGGAGGGCUCGUUGUAGCUGGCGAAGGCGAUGAGGCUGCCGAACCCCAAGCCGAGCGAGAAGAAGAUCUGGGUGGCUGCGUUGAUCCAGGCCUUCGGGUUGGCCAGCUGCUCCAUCUGGAAAGCCAGCAGGGACAAGGCUGGAGAACCCCGGGUGGGAAUCCCAGACUCCCAGAUCAGCAGGGGGCAGGAGGCCCAGAGAGGGGAAGGAAAUUGCCCAUGGCACACAGCCAGCCAGAUGCAGGCCUGGGGCCCGAACCCAGCUCUCCCGGCCCCAUGCGUGCCCAGCCCGGUCCUCAGCAGAUAAAACGCAUCCUUUUGUCCUACCCUCCACUGCCUCUCACCCGCAGGAGGUGUGCAAUUGAAAAGUGUAGGAUAAAAUAAGUUUUAAAGGUACUGAGCCCCUGAUCCAUGACCCAGGCACUGCACGGGUCUGGGCCUCCAGAAAUGGCGGUGCUGGUGUCUAGGUCUGGGUUGUACCGCAGCACUAAUGUUAGGGGGCAUUUGGAAUGUGAUGGGGGCACUAAUGGCGGGGUGCUGCCAAAGUCAUUUUGUUUCCAGGGACCAGAUUUGCUAAAUGAAUAACUUGUCCUGCCCCAAAGGCAAUGGUGGCCUCCCUUGAUUAGCAUCAGUUAUGGGGUGACUGAGGAGCGGGGUGCCUGGGACUGGAUCACGGAGAGCCCUGCGGAGUAUGGAUGCACCCCUGUCGGGAGCGGGGUGCAUGGAGGUGCGAGCAGGAGGGUGAGCUGACUGGCGUGACGCUCCUGGUGAACAGCUUGGUCCACAGGCUGGAGGGAGGGUUUGGGGUGAGACUGGGGUGAAGGCCAGAUGUGGGGCUGGGGUAGCAAGAGGAGAGUGGACGGAAGAUGUAAUGCCCCAGAAUUAGCAGGGCAUAGGGACUGCCUGUCUGAGGACGGAAUCCACGCCCCUCCACUGCCUGGCGGGCUCACACCCACCUUCCCCGGGUCCACUACUGUUCCCCCAACCCUUGGUCUUCCCCCUUCCACCCAUCCUGGAAGGUGGCAGGAUGAAUGGGGGUGCCCUCGGGACCCCUCCCCUCCAGCCCAUACCUUGGGAGUGAACAUGUAUGCCAGGCCGUUGGUGGCUCCGUGGAGCGUGAGGCCCCUGACCAGGUAGAUGACGAGCACGCAGUAGGGCAGCAACGCAGUGAAGUACACCACCUGCGGGCAGCAGAGGGCAGGGUCAGCCUCCUGGAGAUGCAGUGACUACAGGACCCUUUUGCCCAGGGCAGACCCGCCAUCCCCACAAAAAAACCAUGGCACUGUCUUGGCUGUUCGGGCUACUGAUAGCUGGAAAGGUAUCGAGAGUCUUGGUCAGGCACAGGUUCCGAGUUUGGGAAACUGGGUGGUGGGAUGUGGAUGCCCACGUGUGUGACCACCAGGAAAUCUCUUAUGUAGUGGAGAAGAGGGAACAGGUCCUAGAGACCUCUGUCCUCCACCCUCCCUUCAACCCGAACUUCUUCCAGAAAGGAUUUGAGGCAGCCCACAAAAAUACAUCAUCACAUUAACAUGUUAAAACUGCUAGAUAAAGAUAUCUGUGUAAAAAGAAAAUGUGGGCAAUCCAGUAAGAUAAGCCCAAAGAAAAAGGCAGCCCACAGAAUAGGUGUGUGAGGUGCUACCCAGUUUCUGAGCCAGAUCGAUCUCUGAGCUUCCUCGUGGCCCAAGCAAAGCAGGAAGCACAAUCACAAGAUUUAUAUUGUCUCUGAAAG